GAUAAUUUCAAUGGCUGCGGUAAUUUGACCGUACAAAGGUAGCAUAAUCAUUAGUUUUUUAAUUGAAAGCUAGAAUGAAUGGUUGGACGAGAAAAUAACUGUCUCAAUUUAAUUGAAUUAGAAUUUUAUAUUUAAGUAAGAAAGCUUAAAUUUUUUUAAAAGACGAGAAGACCCUAUAGAGUUUAAUAUUUAAUGAAAUUUAAAAUUUAUAGAAUUAUUAUUUAUAGAUUUUAUUAAAUAUUUUGUUGGGGUGAUAGAAAAAUUUAAAUAACUUUUUUUAUUUUUAUAACAUUAAUUUAUGAUUUAUUGAUCCAUUAAUUAUGAUUAUAAGAUAAAAUUACCUUAGGGAUAACAGCGUAAUUUUUUUUGAGAGUUCUUAUCGAAAAAAAAGUUUGCGACCUCGAUGUUGGAUUAAAAUUUACUUUUGGUGUAGAAGCUAUUAGGUUAGGUCUGUUCGACCUUUAAAAUUUUACAUGAUCUGAGUUUAAACCGGCGUGAGCCAGGUUGGUUUCUAUCUUUAAAUAAAGAAGAUAUUUUAGUACGAAAGGACCAAAUAUUUAUUAUAUUAAUUUAUUUAGAAUUUUAUUAAUUUG
rnacentral:rRNA from 1 species